rnacentral:tRNA from 1 species
GCCAGCGUAGCUCAGAGGUAGAGCGGCGCUUUCGUAAAGCGCGGGUCGGGGGUUCGAUUCCCUUCGCUGGCUCCA